UACGUAGGGGGCAAGCGUUGUCCGGAAUCAUUGGGCGUAAAGCGCGUGUAGGCGGACCUGCAAGUCGGGGGUGAAAGCCCGAGGCUCAACCUCGGAACUGCCUUCGAUACUGCGGGUCUCGAGUCCGGGAGAGGUGAGUGGAAUUCCUAGUGUAGAGGUGAAAUUCGUAGAUAUUAGGAAGAACACCAGUGGCGAAGGCGGCUCACUGGCCCGGUACUGACGCUGAGGCGCGAAAGCGUGGGGAGCAAACAGG
rnacentral:rRNA from 1 species